CACCAGAAAUUUAUGUAAAGAGGAACCUCCUAAAAGAAAAGACAAUUCUGAAACAAAAUCAACUAAUGUACAAAAGAUUGAUGAAACUCAUCAACAAAGGACAAACAACACAAAAACCUCUUAUGUUGUCCCGAAAAUACGUCAGAUCAAGCACAGAAAUUUACUAAAGGCGAAUUUUUAAAAUUAAUGCUGGAUAGAAGCAAUAUGCAUCUCGAUAUUUUGAAAUAUAUUCAAAAUUGUUCAACUACAUUAAAUUAAUGCAAAAAGUAGGAGACCCCGCGAAUAGUUGUGAGGACUAUGCUGAUAAAACUAGGAAUUUUACUUAGGAGCAAAGAUCAUCAAUCCUAAAAUAAUUAUGUGACAAUGUUCAUCCAAUCACCUUGCAACACCUUGAUGUACAUGUACCAAGUCUAAUUCAUGUCACUAUUACAUGCACUUUGAUACACAGACCAUCCAACUUUGAUUCAGGCUUUUUACAUCAUAUGGCUGAUCUAGAUGCUGUUUUAAGAGCACAGUCUGUACUGUUUGUGAUUGAAGAAGAAGUGGAAACAAAGCCAGAAAAUCUGUUGAGUCAUACAGAUAUUCUGUUUAAUAUGUCCUGAAACACAAACUUCAGCGAAGACCUACUUUAGUAAAGAUGCAUGGCAGCUUGUUUUAAAUACUCUCAAAGUAUUAGAAGAUAUGUAUAUUAGUAACACUCAGAAGCAUUAUGAUAAGAUUUCUCCAUGCCAGACAAGAAAAGGCAAAGCUUUAAUAGGUCCAGUUGAAGGAAGAAUAUUCAAAAAGUUUUCAAAAAGGACAUCAGACCAGAUUAAAUCAAGAAAAAGAAGUGUGGACAAUUCUUCAUUAAAAGCUAGGAAAUCCUUUACAAAUGAAGAUAUAGUUUUCCAUUAAAAGCUAGGAAAUCCCUUACAAGUGAAGAUAGUUCUCCAUUAAAAGCUAGGAAAUCCCUUACAAGUGAAGAUAGUUCUCCAUUAAAAGCUAGGAAAUCCCUUACAAGUGAAGAUAGUUCUCCAUUAAAAGCAAUAAAAGUUUUAAAUAAUCCAAUAGAUGUUUGCCAAAAUUUAGAAAGGAUCCGUGAAACUACUGGAGAAUAUGAAAGGAUUGGUAAAAAUACUAAAUAGGAUGCAAUUACAGGACUUAUUAAUCAUUCAUCGACAAAAGAUAAAAAAUCAGAAAUAGGCAGAAAAAGAUCAGGAAAUAAGAAAAUAGAUGCAGCAGAAUCCAAGAAGUGUACAGUAAGACUGACUGAUAUUGGUACUAUUAAAAACUUGAAAACAUAUGUAAACAAGACAGAGGAAAUAAGAAAAAGAAGGAAGAUAUGUGUAAAGAAUUUGUAAAAAAAAAUGUUAAAUGUUAAAGGGGCACUAGCUGUCAAAUUCAUGUUCACCGACUUUACUUAAUUUCUAGUAUUUGAUUUAUAAUAAUGAAUAAUGUUAACAUUUAUCCAACCUAUUUAAGGUCUAAAAUAAACUAUUAAGAGGACACGGUAUAAAAUUACAUUUCGUGUGUUCGCAGUCUAGA